rnacentral:rRNA from 1 species
UACGAAGGGUGCAAGCGUUACUCGGAAUUACUGGGUGUAAAGCGUGCGUAGGUGGUUUGUUAAGUCUGAUGUGAAAGCCCUGGGCUCAACCUGGGAACGGCAUUGGAAACUGGCUUACUAGAGUGCGGUAGAGGGGUGUGGAAUUCCCGGUGUAGCAGUGAAAUGCGUAGAUAUCGGGAGGAACAUCUGUGGCGAAGGCGACACCCUGGACCAGCACUGACACUGAGGCACGAAAGCGUGGGGAGCAAACAGG